rnacentral:rRNA from 1 species
UACAGAGGUCUCAAGCGUUGUUCGGAUUCAUUGGGCGUAAAGGGUGCUUAGGCGGCGCGGUAAGUCGGGUGUGAAAACUCAGGGCUCAACUCUGAGACGCCACUCGAUACUGCCCUGACUCGAGUCCGGUAGGGGAGCGUGGAAUUCCCGGUGUAGCGGUGAAAUGCGCAGAUAUCGGGAGGAACACCAGUGGCGAAGGCGGCGCUCUGGGCCGGAACUGACGCUGAGGAGCGAAAGCGUGGGUAGCAAACAGG